rnacentral:rRNA from 1 species
GACGAACGCUGGCGGCGUGCCUAAUACAUGCAAGUAGAACGCACAGUUUAUACCGUAGCUUGCUACACCAUAGACUGUGAGUUGCGAACGGGUGAGUAACGCGUAGGUAACCUGCCUGGUAGCGGGGGGUAACUAUUGGAAACGAUAGCUAAUACCGCAUAAUACUAAUUAUUGCAUGAUAAUUAAUUGAAAGGUGCAAUUGCACCACUACCUGAUGGACCUGCGUUGUAUUAGCUAGUAGGUGAGGUAACGGCUCACCUAGGCGACGAUACAUAGCCGACCUGGGAGGGUGAUCCGCCACACUGGGACUGAGACACGGCCCAGACUCCUACGGGAGGCAGCAGGAGGGAAUCUUCGGCAAUGGACGAAAGGCUGACCGAGCAACGCCGCGUGAGUGAAGAAGGUUUUCGGAUCGUAAAGCUCUGUUGUAAGGGAAGAAAGGGUGUGAGAGUGGAAAGUUCACACUGUGACGGUAUCUUACCAGAAAGGGACGGCUAACUACGUG